AGAGUUUGAUCAUGGCUCAGAUUGAACGCUGGCGGCAGGCCUAACACAUGCAAGUCGAACGGUAACAGGAUAGCUUGCUAUCGCUGACGAGUGGCGGACGGGUGAGUUAUACUUAGGGAUCUGCCUCUGUGUGGGGGAUAACUAUUGGAAACGAUAGCUAAUACCGCAUAAUGUCUACGGACCAAAGCGGGCUUCGGCUCGUGCGCCCAGAGGAACCUAAGCGAGAUUAGCUAGUUGGUGAGGUAAAGGCUCACCAAGGCGACAAUCUCUAGCUGUUCUGAGAAGGAAGAUCAGCCACCACUGGAAACUGAAGACACGGUCCAGACUCCUACGGGAGGCAGCAUUGGGGAAU
rnacentral:rRNA from 1 species